rnacentral:rRNA from 1 species
GGCUCAGGACGAACGCUGGCGGCGUGCCUAACACAUGCAAGUCGAGCGGAGAUCAUGGAGAGCUUGCUCAAAAUGAUUUAGCGGCGGACGGGUGAGUAACGCGUGAGCAAUCUGUCCUACACAGGGGGAUAACAGCUGGAAACAGCUGCUAAUACCGCAUAAGACCACAGUGCCGCAUGGCACAAGGGUCAAAGAUUUAUCGGUGUAGGGUGAGCUCGCGUCCCAUUAGAUAGUGGCGGGUAACGGCCCACCAAGUCGACGAUGGGUAGCCGACCUGAGAGGGUGAUCGGCCACACUGGGACUGAGACACGGUCCAGACUCCUACGGGAGGCAGCAGUGAGGAAUAUUGCACAAUGGGGGAAACCCUGAUGCAGCGACGCCGCGUGAGUGAAGAAGUAUUUCGGUAUGUAAAGCUCUAUCAGCAGGGACGAAAUCAGACGGUACCUGACUAAGAAGCCCCGGCUAACUACGUG